AGUGAACGCUGGCGGUAGGCCUAACACAUGCAAGUCGAACGGCAGCACAGUAAGAGCUUGCUCUUACGGGUGGCGAGUGGCGGACGGGUGAGGAAUACAUCGGAAUCUACUUUUUCGUGGGGGAUAACGUAGGGAAACUUACGCUAAUACCGCAUACGACCUACGGGUGAAAGCAGGGGAUCUUCGGACCUUGCGCGAUUGAAUGAGACGAUGUCGGAUUAGCUAGUUGGCGGGGUAAAGGCCCACCAAGGCGACGAUCCGUAGCUGGUCUGAGAGGAUGAUCAGCCACACUGGAACUGAGACACGGUCCAGACUCCUACGGGAGGCAGCAGUGGGGAAUAUUGGACAAUGGGCGAAAGCCUGAUCCAGCCAUACCGCGUGAGUGAAGAAGGUCUUCGGAUUGUAAAGCCCUUUUAUUAGGGAAGAAAAGCAGCAGGUUAAUACCCCGCUGUUUUGACGGUACCCAAAGAAUAAGCACCGGCUAACUUCGUG
rnacentral:rRNA from 1 species